rnacentral:rRNA from 1 species
UACAGAGGUCUCAAGCGUUGUUCGGAUUCAUUGGGCGUAAAGGGUGUGUAGGUGGCGCGCUAAGUCGGGGUGUGAAAUUUCGGAGCUUAACUCCGAAACUGCAUUCGAUACUGGCGUGCUUGAGGACUGGAGAGGAGACUGGAAUUCAUGGUGUAGCAGUGAAAUGCGUAGAGAUCAUGAGGAAGACCAGUGGCGAAGGCGGGUCUCUGGACAGUUCCUGACACUGAGACACGAAGGCUAGGGGAGCAAACGGG